CCAGAGCCUGAGGAAAAGAUGUCC
rnacentral:piRNA from 1 species